GGGCCCAUAGCUCAGUUGGUCAGAGCGACCGGCUCAUAACCGGUUGGUCCCUGGUUCAAGUCCAGGUGGGCCCA
rnacentral:tRNA from 1 species